rnacentral:lncRNA from 1 species
GAAGAUGAUGAUGAAAAAACAAGGAAAAAAGUGCACGUGCACUAAAAAUAGAAAAAAAUGUUAUUAGGUUUAUAUAUAGACUUGCUUACAUGUAUAGGCGAUUUGAGCAUCAGAAACUUAUACAUUGUACAACACUUCGUUAAUUAAUAAAAAAAAAAAGAAAAAUAACUUAAUAUUUAAAUUAUAUAAUUAUAUGGUCCGGAACAUCUACACUGC